GAUGAAGAACGCAGCGAAAUGCGAUAAGUAGUGUGAAUUGCAGAAUUCAGUGAAUCAUCGAAUCUUUGAACGCACAUUGCGCCCCUUGGUAUUCCAUGGGGCAUGCCUGUUCGAGCGUCAUUUGUACCUUCAAGCUUUGCUUGGUGUUGGGUGUUUGUCUCGCCUUUGCGUGUAGACUCGCCUUAAAAUAAUUGGCAGCCGGCGUAUUGAUUUCGGAGCGCAGUACAUCUCGCGCUUUGCACUCAUAACGACAGCGUCCAAAAGUACAUUAUUCUUGCGUUUGACCUCGGAUCAGGUAGGGAUACCCGCUGAACUUAAGCAUAUCAAUAAGCGGAGGA
rnacentral:misc_RNA from 1 species